ensembl:processed_transcript Gm16565 predicted gene 16565
AGAACCUUCAGGCUCUGUGCUUGAUUCUCCAUGCAGGAAGUUCACCCGGUGCCUCAGGUCAAGGAAGGUGCCAGCUAGUGGCAGUGAACCGGCCAAGAAAAGUUAUCCUCAGAUACAGGGUCCAACCCGAAACCAGUUUAUGGAGGCCAGAGACUUCAGCCCCUUCAGGGGACACGCAGAGGCCUGUAGAGGGAGAGUGAGUUUCUUGGUUUGUUUUGUUCAAAGUCACACAGUAAGUAACGGAUGAGGCUGGGACCAGAUCCCAGGGCGGUGCCUCUCUUAAAACCAAUAGGUCUGUGGCACCAGCUGAGGGUAAGACCUUCUGGGAGAAUCAGAACUGAGCAUGAAAACAAAGCCAGGCCAGAGGUGGGGAACUGAAGAGAUCCCCUCCCCGCAAGAUGUGGUAACUGGUUCCUCAGGUUCCCCGGGGUCUCAGGCUUAGAGUUUUCUCAUCUCAAUGACUUCUCCUUUGCUUAGCUACCUCUGAGCUUCCGAGGCUGAACCAGUCACUGAAGCCGGGGCUAUCUGUUCAUAAGGAAGACAAGGCAGGCACUUUGAGUCAAGAAAGAACUACAAAGAAGAGGAAGUGGACAGGUCCCUACUCCGGUGUGGUCUACGCUCCCAUAGGACUUGUCCACAACCUCCUUUUUUCAGUCCUCCCCCCCCCUCCAUCAGAGACCGUGCACGAUCCGUUCUCAGUUCCGAUCAUUUCUAGAAGAUUCUUGCCAGAGCUUCUUCGACUAAGCAUUUAAUAGUCCUCUGGCAUCCCUUUCCCAGAUAGUGAUGACAGUUACGACCUCCCCUGGAGUAUGUGAAGGGAGCCGACUUUCCCCAGCAUCCUCGGUAUACAGACAUAUGAUGCAGAAAAACUGCCAGGAAGCAAGCUGUCCAUUCUUCAAUACACAGCUGCGUGGGUAAAAUGGAUAAAAGCUACGCAGGAAGUUGGACGUGGUCAGCAAGUUCGGGACAAAAAGCCGGUUAGUGGGGUCCUUUCUCACCCAAGCCUGCCACUCUACACCCCAAGUCUUCCCGCUACCGUGAUGCACCACCACCCAGGACACGUGACUUCCAGUCUUGAGUUGGCCACUUGCCAGCUUUGGGAUAGUAGACUUUCCUCCAUGUAGCUGCAGAAGGGCAAAGCAGAGAGUGCUGUGGUCGGCUUGGGGAAACUGGCUAGGAGGUUAUACUGCAAGAAGCUGCAGGCGCCCUCUGGGAGCCGAGAGCUACAUCUGGACCCCAUUCUUAUAAAGAAGCUGACGUCUGGAGAUGCUUCAAGGCCACACAGCAACUUAGAUAUAUGCCUAGGGUCUGACUUCAGCAAUUGAGAGUCACGUACAAAUUAGUAAAGAAUUAAAAUAAUAAAAAAGUACAUUAAACUACAGUCAAAUUGAAGAAAAAGCAAAAUUCGGACGGAUACACAUUCUUACACCCCAAACCUCCAAACCUUCAGAACUUCCUGCCUAUGUGUCGAGAGGGGGAGUGAGAGGGUGUCUUGCUGGCAGGUGCUGGCUCAAAGGCCCACAGUCCUCCACUUCCUGGGGUGUCAGCCACAGAACAAAGCCAGCAGAGACUCCAUCAGCGCCUCCUUUUCUCCUCAUCCUCCCAGGCAUAGCUGCCUCUGCCUCUGCCUCUGGGUACAAUCCCAGGGAAGCAGAAGAUGAAGUGGAAAGUAUCUGUUCUCGCCUGCAUCCUCCACGUGCGGUUCCCAGGAGCAGGUAAGGGCUCUGUUUCCCGCGGCUUGACCCUUUUAGAGGCUCUCUGUGUUUCUGAGGGGCAGCGGAGGGGUGCCAAGGACCUGGUGCUUCUUUUAAAGCUUGUCUUCCCAAAGUCAACGGGCAGAGUGGGCAGCGGCAGUGUGGGCUUGGGUCCCACCCAGGCGUCUGCUCUGUGACAGCCAAGCUGGUUAUCGGUUAGGGGCCAGCUGUUUGAAAACACAGUUGUAGAUUGUCUAGUGAUAAAGGCAAAAGAAAAAGACUGUGGAGGGAAAGGGCAAGGAGAAACGCAGCGAGUCAGUAACUGAGACAGCUCUGCACAGACAGGAGAAGCGGCACAGGAUCAGAAACACCAGCCAGCUAGGCCUCGCUCCUCUACUCUGGUUUCCAGAUAUCAUGUCUCCUUCCGCCCCUCUCUGGUUGGCAUUGCCGCUCAGCCCCGUUCUUUCCUCCUUUGCCAACAAAGGACAUUGCCAUGGUCAGU